rnacentral:rRNA from 1 species
AUCUUCGGCAAUGGGCGAAAGCCUGACCGAGCGACGCCGCGUGAGCGAUGAAGGCCAUUAGGUUGUAAAGCUCUGUCGAGGGGGAACAAGCCGCAAGGUUGAGUGAUCCCUGGAGGAAGCACGGGCUAAGUUCGUGCCAGCAGCCGCGGUAAGACGAACCGUGCGAACGUUGUUCGGAAUCAUUGGGCUUAAAGGGCGCGUAGGCGGGUGUUCAAGUCCGGGGUGAAAGCCUCCAGCUCAACUGGAGAAGAGCCCCGGAUACUGUUCACCUGGAGAGAGAUAGGGGCACAUGGAACUUCCGGUGGAGCGGUGAAAUGCGUAGAGAUCGGAAGGAACGCCGGUGGCGAAAGCGAUGUGCUGGAUCUUUUCUGACGCCGAGGCGCGAAAGCUAGGGGAGCAAACGGGAUUAGAUACCCCGGUAGUCCUAGCCCUAAACGAUGGGUACUGGGUUGCGGGUCAGACAUAGACUCGCAGCCGAAGCAAAAGUGUUAAGUACCCCGCCUGGGGAGUAUGGUCGCAAGGCUGAAACUCAAAGGAA